UGGGGAAUAUUGCACAAUGGGGGAAACCCUGAUGCAGCGACGCCGCGUGGAGGAAGAAGGUCUUCGGAUUGUAAACUCCUGUUGUUGGGGAAAAUAAGGAUGGUACCCAACAAGGAAGUGACGGCUAACUACGUGCCAGCAGCCGCGGUAAAACGUAGGUCACAAGCGUUGUCCGGAAUUACUGGGUGUAAAGGGAGCGCAGGCGGGUAUGCAAGUUGGAAGUGAAAUACAUGGGCUCAACCCAUGAACUGCUUUCAAAACUGUGUAUCUUGAGUAGUGCAGAGGUAGGCGGAAUUCCCGGUGUAGCGGUGGAAUGCGUAGAUAUCGGGAGGAACACCAGUGGCGAAGGCGGCCUACUGGGCACCAACUGACGCUGAGGCUCGAAAGUGUGGGUAGC
rnacentral:rRNA from 1 species